UUUCAUUAGGGUAACACCAAUCUGGUUGAUGUCCCUACUUUCUGCACCUCUGUCCUUGCCCUUCAUGUAGAUCAAAUGCUGUCCCCCACCCCAAGCGUUCCCAGUUUUCACUGUUGGAAUGAAAGCCUUCCUCCGUUUGGAUGUGGUGUGUUUCAGUUCAUCAUGCCUCUUGGCCAGCACUUUACCUACUGAGCCACCUUGCCAGCCCCCCAAACCGGACUUCUAUCUGAAAGAAAAAUGAGUCCAAUUAAGCUCAGAGUUGAAGAGAGAAAAGAAGCCACCGGUGGACAGUUGCCUCAUGAGCGUAGGUUGGAGGCGGGGUUCAAUGUACAUGUCUUCCUUCUUGGUUAUGCUGCCACAAAGGUGGGACACCUGAAGAAAACUGACUUGCUCAGCUUUUGGUUCAUCUAACAGUAAGAUCAAAUCAGGUCAAGGGAAUCAAAAUAUAGAGCCUGAAGCGAGCCUUGGGAGGGCCCUUAAGCCACUGGCUUUUCUUGCUUCACAGGACAUUUUAAUUGGAAAUUUCCCACUCUUUAUUUAAUUGGUUAUAAGGAUAAGUGACAAGGAUGUUGAGGCCCCUCAAGAGCCAUUGUCAUUGUACCUUUUUUCUGAUCCAGGACAAGUGCUUGGUGUCUAAAGUGGAUCAGACAAGGAGUUGCUGUUGGAAACAGACCAAAGAAUCUGGGAUGGAGAAGAGAUGACAGUGGGUAGCAGGACUGUGCCUGGUAAUGGCUGUAUACAUACCAAGGUGAAUGAAUGGUCUAGGGCUUCAAUCCUAAGGAGAGAAAUUUCAAAGGGUUGUAAGUAUAAAGGCAUGCAUUUAUAAGCUGCUAUCAGGAUAGCACAUAUCUUCCUUAAUCUACCAAAAAAAAAUACCAUGUUCCUUUUGAGCACUCCUAAGUGUGUAGAAAACCUAGCAUUCAUUUUUUUUUCUAUCUUCCUACUGUCCUCUGAAACACAUUGGCAAGGAGACACGAUGAUAGGACAAGAUACCCACUUUCUAGAAGCCUCUGUAGCCAUAUAGUUGGGAGAGAGAAUCUUAACCAUGUCACCAACAUAGUUAAGUCUCAGUAGCCCUCCCUUGGGUCUGGUUGUAAUGUGUCUGGCUUUCUUCCUCCCAUACCUUCAUUUGCACUGAGGGGUAAAGCGGGUGGUGGGUCAAGUUACCAGGCUUCUUGGAAGAUGUACACUAUUCUUCUCCCUGUCCUUCCUAAGGUCUUCCUCCUUAAAUUUAUUUGAGAUUAUAGCUAUUUGGGGCUGAGAAGGAUUACAUCUUUUUAGCUAGUUGUCAGCAAAUGAAAGUCAUAGCCUAAAAUGGAUUUACUAUUUAUUUUCAUUUUUUAAAGGGAAAAUGUGGAUACAGCUAUGUAAAUUAGGGAUGGAGAGCUUGCUUAGCGCAUGGAAGGCCCUG
rnacentral:lncRNA from 1 species